GUUGUCAACCAAAUUAGGAGAAGGGUAAUCCUGCACAACUGGAGUGGCUGCACUCUCAGGACCGCAUUUUUAGGACCGCAUCUUUAGGAGCCUAUUUUUUUGUGACAGCGCCAACUGUCGGAUUGGAUCAAGGAUGCGCUAAUGGACGACACGGAUGACAAGGUAAGUGACAUCGUACAUGCUCUGGGUGUCUUGAGGAGCUUGUCUUUGGAUGAUGCUGAGCAGGUCUUUCUUUCUGGUAACGGUUAUCAUUACAGUGAAGUAAAAGAAUUUAACAGACAGAUUGACAAACAACUGACAAAAGAAGAGAGACCAUUUAAUAG